rnacentral:lncRNA from 1 species
UAUGAUCAUCUUGGGGGAUACCUUGGGGAGUAUGUGCCGUUGAAAAGCAGUGUUCAGAUGGAGAACUUGGAAACUGGUGCCUUGACACCGUGAUGGUGAGAAUGGCUAGAUCCUUGUGCUUUCAUUUGUCUUUUGUUGCAUGAUACGUAAGCAGGAGUUAGUGUAAAGACAUUUGCUUUUCUAGUAGGUUGUUGUGUUUUGACACUUGAAUAUGUUCAUUUUUACAUAAUAAGUCAUGGUAGUCUUUGUUCUUGAUGAUAUUUAAGCAAGAGUUAGUGUAAAGACAUUUGCUUUUCUAGUAGGUUGUUGUGUUUUGACACUUGAAUAUGUUCGUUUAACAUAAUAAGUCAUGGUAGUCUUUGUUCUUUUCGCGCCUUAGCUUUUCUAGU